rnacentral:rRNA from 1 species
UACAGAGGUCUCAAGCGUUGUUCGGAUUCAUUGGGCGUAAAGGGUGUGUAGGUGGCGCCGUUAGUCGGGUGUGAAAUUUCGGAGCUUAACUCCGAAACUGCAUUCGAUACUGCGGUGCUUGAGGACUGGAGAGGAGACUGGAAUUCAUGGUGUAGCAGUGAAAUGUGUAGAGAUCGGGAGGAACACCGGUGGCGAAGGCGGGUCUCUGGACAGUUCCUGACGCUGAGGCACGAAGGCCAGGGGAGCAAACGGG